rnacentral:rRNA from 1 species
UACGUAGGGGGGCUAGCGUUGUCCGGAUUUAUUGGGCGUAAAGAGCGUGUAGGCGGCCAUGUAGGUCCGGUGUGAAAACUCGAGGCUUAACCUCGAGAUGUCAUCGGAAACCAUUUGGCUAGAGUCCGGAAGAGGAGAGUGGAAUUCCUGGUGUAGCGGUGAAAUGCGCAGAUAUCAGGAAGAACACCAAUGGCGAAAGCAGCUCUCUGGGACGGUACUGACGCUGAGACGCGAAAGCGUGGGGAGCGAACAGG